rnacentral:rRNA from 1 species
ACGGGUGAGUAACACGUGGGCAAUCUGCCCUUCACUCUGGGACAAGCCCUGGAAACGGGGUCUAAUACCGGAUAACACUCUGUCCCGCAUGGGACGGGGUUAAAAGCUCCGGCGGUGAAGGAUGAGCCCGCGGCCUAUCAGCUUGUUGGUGGGGUAAUGGCCUACCAAGGCGACGACGGGUAGCCGGCCUGAGAGGGCGACCGGCCACACUGGGACUGAGACACGGCCCAGACUCCUACGGGAGGCAGCAGUGGGGAAUAUUGCACAAUGGGCGAAAGCCUGAUGCAGCGACGCCGCGUGAGGGAUGACGGCCUUCGGGUUGUAAACCUCUUUCAGCAGGGAAGAAGCGAAAGUGACGGUACCUGCAGAAGAAGCACCGGCUAACUACGUGCCAGCAGCCGCGGUAAUACGUAGGGUGCGAGCGUUGUCCGGAAUUAUUGGGCGUAAAGAGCUCGUAGGCGGCUUGUCACGUCGGAUGUGAAAGCUCGGGGCUUAACCCCGAGUCUGCAUUCGAUACGGGCUAGCUAGAGUGUGGUAGGGGAGAUCGGAAUUCCUGGUGUAGCGGUGAAAUGCGCAGAUAUCAGGAGGAACACCGGUGGCGAAGGCGGAUCUCUGGGCCAUUACUGACGCUGAGGAGCGAAAGCGUGGGGAGCGAACAGGAUUAGAUACCCUGGUAGUCCACGCCGUAAACGUUGGGAACUAGGUGUUGGCGACAUUCCACGUCGUCGGUGCCGCAGCUAACGCAUUAAGUUCCCCGCCUGGGGAGUACGGCCGCAAGGCUAAAACUCAAAGGAAUUGACGGG